UACGAAGGGGGCGAGCGUUGUUCGGAAUUACUGGGCGUAAAGGGCGCGCAGGCGGCUCUGAAAGUCAGAUGUGAAAGCCCCGGGCUUAACCUGGGAAUUGCAUUUGAUACUCUGGAGCUUGAGUACGGGAGAGGAUAGUGGAAUUCCCAGUGUAGAGGUGAAAUUCGUAGAUAUCGGGAGGAACAUCAGUGGCGAAGGCGGCUACCUGGCCCAAUACUGACACUCAGGUGCGACAGCGUGGGGAGCAAACAGG
rnacentral:rRNA from 1 species